rfam:Gossypium hirsutum cultivar TM-1 chromosome 23, whole genome shotgun sequence
AACCCAUGAUGAGGGCACCUUCUCAAUAAGUCCUUGUAUCUCUCACAUGCAUCACAUAGUGUCUCUAAAUCGAUCUGAAUAAAAGAAGAGAUGUCAUUCCUUAACUU